rnacentral:rRNA from 1 species
GCUCGAGUGGCGAACGGGUGAGUAACACGUGAGUAACCUGCCCUUGACUUUGGGAUAACUUCAGGAAACUGGGGCUAAUACCGGAUAGGAGCUCCUGCUGCAUGGUGGGGGUUGGAAAGUUUCGGCGGUUGGGGAUGGACUCGCGGCUUAUCAGCUUGUUGGUAGAGUAAAAGCCUACCAAGGCGACGAUGGGUAGCCGGCCUGAGAGGGUGAACGGCCACAUUGGAACUGAGAAACGGUCCAA